UCCCUGGUGGCUCAGAGGUUAAAGCGUCUGCCUGCAAUGCAGGAGACCCAGGUUCAAUUCCUGAGUUGAGAA
rnacentral:tRNA from 1 species